CUCCUGACCUCGUGAUCCGCCCGUCUCGGCCUCCCAAAGUGCUGGGAUUAUAGGCUUGAGCCACCGCUCCCAGCCUCAAGUUACAUUCUUUAGCGUAAUUUAGUUUUCCAGCUUCUGUGUAACUGGGGGACACCUAUUCAAAUAUUUUAAGCAUAUGCUAGGUCUUUUGUCAUGAGAUAUAAUUUGUUUUUCAAUUGUUAUGGUAGCAAAUUUGUCAUUUGGCUGGACUUCAAUGGCUGCUGCAGUUUUAUCCUUAUUGGCAUCCCAAGAGGAGUGGAAGAUAGAUAAGCUGCAGGAAUCAAGAUUUAUAUAUUAUCUAAGAAACUGGAGUGGGAGGAAGAUAAAAAACAUGAACUAUUUCUCUGUUUUUUAUCUCUCACUUCCCCAUUAUCUCUUUCACGUUGAGAACUAGGGUCAUUUUUCUAGUGACAGGCCUACUUUGUAGACAUUACAUCCUAAACUUUCAUUAAGGACAAUAUUAUAAUAGUCAGGAUAAACUGGGCUAUGCUGUGCUAACAAGUAAACUCCAAAGUUCUAGUGAUUUAAUUCAGUAAAGAUUUAUUUCUUUCUCAUAUCACAGUUUAAUUCAAAUGGUUCCUUUUGGCCACUCUUAAGGAGUCUGGCUAAAACUUCUACCUAAAAAUCUACAUGUGAUUUUUUUUUUUUCAUGCCAAACAGUAGGCAGUCACAAAAGCUGCCCUCCCCACGCCAGUCUUGGUGUGGCAAAUACAAUCUUUGAAGGAGGUUUCAGUCGAGGACUCAGGCUCUCCGGCUGACUUUGCUCCUAUGCAUAUCAUCAUUCCUAGAUCAGAUGCCUCCAUUUGGAAGCUUCUUUAUAGGAGGCCUUCAGCUGAGGCCUUCCUCAGGUGCCUCUGCUGAGACCUCCUUAUUAAAGAGCUGAAGAAUCAAACUUGAAGAAACAUUGCUCCACCGUAAUUCAAUAUUCAGGACUUUUGCACUCCCAGCCCUUUCCCCUUUCCUUUCCCCUUGCUCCAGGGUCCAUAAAAUCCCAAGAGCGUUUUUUGGAAGCUCCUUCAGGAUUGAGCUGAAUACCAUAUCUAUGCUACUCCUGCUAAUUCUUGACUGGUUCUGGUCCAUGGAAAAAGAUUGAUCAGGAGGAGUCAGCAUUUUCUUCAGGUUAGCCUCUUGCUUAUGCUAUCCCUGUAAGUGAUUAAAGGCUUCACUGUUAUUUUCAUUCUUGCUUCUUGCCUAAUUGGCUACUCUGAUACCUGGCAGCUUAGCUCUGUCUAGGUCAGCUCAGCUCCUUAUAAUUCUACAAGGAAUAACUCAGGAAUCCAAGAUGUUUCCAUCUUAAAGUUACACUAUCUGGAGCAUGUGUGUCCAGCAUCAUUGUGAAACAGAAAGAGAGAGAGUAGGGAACUGUGCAAAUAAAUCAAUGGCCAAGCCUAGAUGUGGUGUGUAGCACAUUCAUUCAUAUUUCACUGCUCAGAACUCAGUUACAUGCUUCCAACCCAAUGGCAAGGCAGGUUGGAAAAGUAGUCUUCUUGUUUAUAUAGGAAGAGAAAAGAGAUUUUUUGUGAACAUUGAGCCAAUUUCUGUCUGUAACGCCAACUUCUGUUGGGUAAAUAUGUGUGUUGUGGGAGGUAAGUUUUGCACAAGUUUUUCAGACUAGUGGGAGAUAUAAUUACAGAUGAAAGGCAGGUCUGAUGCCCAGGCAUUGUACUAAGCAUGAGGAAUGAUUUAGAGAGGUGAAAUAAAGACUGAAGAUUUAGUGAAAUUGAAUGAUACAUCUUAGGUGACAAUGGUAUUACCCUUCCUAGUCUAGAAAAAACUUCUGGAUGUUCUUGAGAACUCUUCUCCACCCACCACUACUUCUAAAUUUAAUUCCUCUGCACCAGCUGCACAAUCCUGCAUUUACAAUUCAGUUUAGACUACUGAACUUUCUACCUACCAUCCCCUCUAUAAAAUGAAAGGUUUAAAUUAGUGAUUUUCUUCCCCUACCAGCCUGCAAGGUGCAGUUGGUCAUUUCAUGGGCACUCAAGGAAUGUCUGACCUACCUCACAGUGAUCUGUCCAUAGUGAGCAUUUAAUGCAUGUACAGUUAUGAAACAUCUAGAAGUCAUCCAUUCUUUUAUAGACUUCCUCUCCUGACAUGUCUACUUGCUAUGAAACAGCUGUUUAGUCAUGUUGCCAAGAAGAAAAAAGACAGAGUGCUUCUAGAUAAAGAAAUAGUAUUCCUAUGUCAACUUUCUAUGCAAAGUGUGGACUGUGGACCAGCAGCAUGUGCAUUGCCUGGCAGCUUGUUGGAAAUGCAGAAUCUGAAGCUCUUCCCUAGACCUACUAAACAGACUUCGCUUUAACAAUAUAUCUGGGCAAGUCAUAUAGUCAUUAAAAUUUGAGAAGUAUGAUCUAGCAUAGAUAUUACUUCAUAAUAAAUGUUUAAUGUUUGAGUUACUAUUGCUGCAUAGCUUGAAGGAGACAGUAUAUACACCUUACCUCUUCAUGGAAGGAUUGUCAAAGUCUCACUAUAAGAAGAACAUGGUACCGGAGAUAUUGUUGUAGCCACCUUUGGAAAAUACAAUUGACACACUUAAUAUUUAAAACUAUUGCCUUUACUCCUUUAUUGUGCAGACGUAAACCAGUGAUUGGUUCCAGGUUAAAGGUACUUUUUGGCAUGCUCAGUAACCGUCUUUACUUUACAGGAGGAGGUAGAGUACCAGGUAGCUUUUUCAAAAGGCAUGCUGAAAAUUAUUAGUAGUUUGAUAAAGAUUCUGAUGAAUUCUUAAGGCUAAAUGCAGUGCUAAAUUUUUCCUUGUCAUCUUCUUUGAUCUCCUCAGUGAGAAAUUAUCUCAUCUUCCUCCAAAGCCCAUUAGAAUGUUGCCUAUUUUAAAAAUUGAGUUCUUCAUAUCAUAAAUUAAAUAUUGUGUCUAAAGAGUUUCUGGCAUAUGCUACAUACUCGAUGAUUGCAGGUAUUUUCAUUAAAGCUAUUUGUAUAUAUUUCUUACCUCCUUCUUCUUUCUUUUCCUGGUGAACUGCAAUUCUUUUAGAAGCCAAUUCUGAAUUCCUAGGCAGAGUAGUCAUAUUUUUCUUUCAGUUUCAUAGUAAUUUAAACCCCAAAACCAGUGUUUAUGCACAGACUUAUAUUCCAUUACCUAGCAUUUCUAAAGAAUGACUUUUUUAAUCUUAAUUAUUUUCAGUGGAAACUUUUUCUAAAUGUGUGAUAUGCACCUAUAAUGCUAAGCAUAAGCAGAUGCUCAUAAACUAGGGGUUCUUUUCUCUUGCACAUUUUGUGAUGUUUAUAGCCUUGCUGCCGCCAUGGGGUCUGUACCUAGUGGCGUUUGCUCCUUUCUCAGAGAAAAUUACAUAAUAGAUUUCAUAAAAAUUCUAUCUAUCAUCAGAGAAUAUGAUCUAUGAGGGAAAGCCUCAGAGAAUCUCUUAUGAAGAAGUGAAUAUACUUGCUUAUUUUUGAUUUUGAAUGAGUAACAAAAUAAUAAUAAAUUAUAAAAUACAAUUAAAUUGCAUUUAAUAAUAUUUAUUAAAUAAAACUAUUAUUUUCAUGCCAGUUUUAUGGUUUAAAUAUCACCUUUGCAUGCAUUUUCUAACUUGUUUUUGAAAACUUCCCUGUAAGGUAGAGUUACUCAUAGUAAAAAUAAUAUGUGAUCAAUAUAAUGUUUUUAAUAAAAUAAGGAGUUGUUCUAAAA